ACUCCUGCGGGAGGCAGCAGUGGGGAAUUUUGGACAAUGGGCGAAAGCCUGAUCCAGCAAUGCCGCGUGAGUGAAGAAGGCCUUCGGGUUGUAAAGCUCUUUUGUCAGGGAAGAAACGGUGAAAGCUAAUAUCUUUUGCUAAUGACGGUACCUGAAGAAUAAGCACCGGCUAACUACGUGCCAGCAGCCGCGAUAAUACGUAGGGUGCAAGCGUUAAUCGGAAUUACUGGGCGUAAAGCGUGCGCAGGCGGUUUUGUAAGUCUGAUGUGAAAUCCCCGGGCUCAACCUGGGAAUUGCAUUGGAGACUGCAAGGCUAGAAUCUGGCAGAGGGGGGUAGAAUUCCACGUGUAGCAGUGAAAUGCGUAGAUAUGUGGAGGAACACCGAUGGCGAAGGCAGCCCCCUGGGUCAAGAUUGACGCUCAUGCACGAAAGCGUGGGGAGCAAACAGGAUUAGAUACCCGAGUAGUCCCAUG
rnacentral:rRNA from 1 species